AGCAAGGAGAAAGAAUCCAGAAGUAGCAAAUCAGAAGGCAGUGUUCACACAUAUAGUACCGGAUCCAGAUCAGAAAGCAGCAGGCAAACAGAUAUUGCCAACUCGGAAUCACAGGAAAACACCCAGACCUAAAACACUAGUAACUAGUGAUUUCUUCAGAAGCCAAUGGAUAAUACUGAAUGUCUCACUGAGAAAUAGAAAGUCUACCAUCCCUCUCCUAGUCACAGCUGAAGGAAACAAUAAACUAAGUGUGGACCAAU